rnacentral:lncRNA from 1 species
UUGUUGUUGACUGAGAUAGAUACCUGUGUCCAAGGAGCACAGCAAACAUGCUAAGUUUAUAGUUAAAAAUGGGUUAUUUCUUUUUUACUUUUGUUUUUGUUCUUUUUUUCCCCCUUUUUUUCAAGACAGGAUUUCUCAGUGUGUACCUGGCUGUCCUGGAACUUACUCUGUAGAUCAGGCUGGCCUCAAGAUGCUGGGAUUUAAGCCAUGUGCUACCACCACACCACCUGGCCUCUUCUUUACCUUUCAAAUAAUAUUGUUUAAUUUUUAUUUGUAUCAGAGAUUCUUGAAUGUAGUAUACCUGUGUACCACAUGCAUAUGUGCCUAGUCUACAAAGAGGCCAUUUGAUCCCCUGGAACUGGAGUGAGCCACCAUGUGGAUGCUGGGAAUUGAACCCAGCUCUCUAUAGAAGCAGCCAGUGCUCUUCCCUACUGAGAUAUAUCUCUAGCCCCUUGUCUUUCUUUCGUCUGUUCUGUGUGCCAGACCACAUUCUGUAUUCUUAGAGAUAUAUUUUGAGGGCAUCAAAGUAGACUGGAAAGAGUGGUACCAGCUGUUACUCUGAGGUUUAGUUGUGGCUCACACUCCUGUCUGGGUCCGUCUUCUAGUAGUGAAUGCUCUUGACUUUGUGGUUUGCUUUUGGUUUUUGAGGCAGGCCUUCAUUUUAUAGCUCAGGCUAGCCUAGAACUUAGUCCUCCCACCUCAUCCUCCCUACGUGCUGGGAUCACAGUGUGUACCUCCUCACCCAGCUUGCAUUUGGCAUUUGGUGUCAGUGUGUGCCCAGGGCAGGAGUUGAGGAAGGUUGCCCUACGUAAACAAAGACAGGGUGGAGGAGAUAGAACGAGUCAGAGUCAGUUUUAUAUCGGAGUUCAAACCUUAAGUUGGUGAAAUUCAUGAAGAAGUUGACAGUGAUUUAGAGAAACGGGCAGUAUGUUUCUGCUCCUGUGGGGCGCAUGUCUGCGACCAAGAAGACACAGGCUCCUUUUGCUUUUGGUUUGUAGGCCCAUAGUGUUUGCCUACAGCAACGAAGAGAUGAAUGUAAGAACUGCCUCUGAUCUCUGAAUGAUCUAUAGCGUUGGAUUUGCUGUGUCCUGAAAGUAAGAUGGGCUGCUUUCCAGUCCCUCUGUAAUACAGUCAAAAUCACCCCUGCUGAACCGGUUAGUUCUUAAACUUUGCUAAAUUACUAAAACCUGCAGUGACUCAAAGUGUGUGUGUGUGUAUAUUGGAUUGUACAUUUUAGUUAUGACAACAUGAGCCUCAACAUUUUAUGACUUCCUGUUGACACAUUAGUCUUUGGCUUUAUGUAGUGUUAGAAAAUGGUAAUUGUGUGAGGCCAUCAGACUAGUUGCAUGGGAAGGCAGGUUCUGGGGGGUAAGCAGGCUGCUCCUUAAGUUUCAGUUGGAAACUUUGAUGGUUAUAUCAACUUCAAGUCUAGCAGGAGUUCUUAAGUUGUUGCUUCAGGGCCCCGGGUGGUGAGUUAGGAAUUAUAGGAGUCUGAAAUCAUAAAAUCAUAACACAGUUGUGUUUCCCAUAUACAGGGGCAAGGCCAGAGGGAGCCUGGGGGAGGGGUGGGAGGAGGUAGACUCAGCUGCAGGGCAGAGUGCUGAGGCCAACCUGGGUGCUGACAUCAGUGAGUGUCAAAGAGUAAAUAACAUUAUUUCUUCUGUGAGAAAGUACAGUCCUCCUAUGUUUUUUAGAAAAUAUUUUCGUGUGGAGUGCAGUAACAUGUUGCAAGGGAGCAAGACAUAGUCCAUUAGAGCCUGUUGAUUGAUGUAGGCGUGUUUGUUGGCUGUGUUACUUCCCCAGGCUCCUUGGAAGCAGAAGCAGCAUGCCUGUAGAAGGUGAUUUCUUAUAAACCGCCAUGAUUACAGAUUUCCCAGCAGGGAAUACAGACUUCAGAGGUCGCCUGUGUUCUCUUUAAGAAACCGGCCAGGCAUAUUAGUGCCUCUGCUUUGGCAAUCAGCAUUGCCUUUCAUUUGCUUGGUACACUUAUGAAGAUUAAUUUAGAAUGAAAUGUAAUUGGAAGCCAAUUACAUCUGAUGGCCAGACCUAUUAGAUUGGGAAAUGGAAAGCAUUGAGCUAGUGUCUGGGAGAUACAUCUCAUACAUUGGAUGUCACUGUCUUCCUCAAUGCCUAACCUAAAUGACUUUUUUCUCUUUGCUAUUGUGUUACAUUGUUCCAGAUAGACUCUGUAGUCCAAGAGUAAAGAAAGCCUAUGGCAAAAGAGUACUUAUACAUCAUAACACAUUUAUUAUCAUUUGGUUAAGAAUUGGAAAAUAAUUAAAGAAAAUCUUUAGUUUUUGAUUCCUCUAAGGAUAAAAGAGGACUAUAAGUCACUUUCUGAAUUUAGUGGUUCAUUUAGCUUGUGGGGACUUAAUUUCAUUUGAACUAGCUCUAAAAUUUGGUAUAUGAAACAAUGAACAUCUUUGAUAUCUUUGCUUAUUCUUUCCUGUAGUUUUAGUUUCUUAUUUUUUAGUUGAGAUGCAAUUUAUAUCACCAUCUAAAAGUAUAAAACUUUCCAGUUAUACUAACUACAGAAUUGCAAAAUGUAAUUGUAGUUUAAGUGUUUGGUAAGCUCAUUAGAAUCAUGCAGCCAUCAAUCACUGUUGUCUUUGUUUGGAAAGUUCUUAUCCUACAAAGACAUCCCACACGGUAGCAGCCACACCCAUUUCUUCCUUCUUCACCCCUCCCUAAAUGGCCGAUUGAUUGGGCUGAUUGGACCGCUCUGGACUUUUCAUGCUCUGGAAUCACACAGUUUAUAUUUUUCUAUGCUGGGAUCCACCAACUUACUGUAAAGUUUAUCUAAAAGGCUUAUCUAUUUUGUAACAUGUAUCAGCGCUUUUCUGCAUGUCUAAAAGAGUUGCCAGUAGUUCAGGGGAGGUUGUGCGUGGUCCCAUUAGCUCUUCCAAGAUCCAUGCUUGACUGUUGGUUGACCGUGUCUUAUGUAGCUCUAGUGCAGGCGCUCACAGCUGCUUUGAGUUUGUUAUGGUUGUGUUAUGCCCUGAUACAGCAUCUCAUAUCUCUUCUGUCCUUCAGCUCGUACAUUCUUCCUGUUCUCUUUUCCCCCAGUGUUCUCUAGCCAUAGAGGGGGUGGUGUAAAUAUCUUGUUUAAGGCUAAACACACAGUUCUUAUUUACUUAAACAUCUUGAACAGUCACGAGACUCUGUACUUAAAAACUUUCUGUGUGCUCCAGGUUCUGGUUGGGUGAAAAAGUGUGCGGUGGGGAAAGAGUCUGGGACACCUUACCUGUCCACAGUGGGAAUCCUUGCAGGUUGGCAGCAGAAGUUCACUGCUUCUUUCAGGCUGAAUCUUGGCUUCAUGAAAAUUUGCUGAAAGAAAGCUGAUUAGCAUACAGUUAGAUCUGUCAACGUUUAUGUGGCAACUCCUGACAUUUUAAGAAUACUUGGCUUUGAAUAAUUUUGAAAUACUAAGUGCUGUGCAGCAUAGGAUGUGUGGGGGGGCACCUAUGAUUACCAGUAAUUACAG